rnacentral:rRNA from 1 species
AACGUAGGUGGCGAGCGUUAUCCGGAUUCAUUGGGCGUAAAGGGUGCGUAGGCGGCGCGGUAAGUCGGGUGUGAAAUCUCGGAGCUUAACUCCGAAACUGCAUUCGAUACUGCCGUGCUUGAGGACUGGAGAGGAGACUGGAAUUUACGGUGUAGCGGUGAAAUGCGUAGAUAUCGUAAGGAAGACCAGUGGCGAAGGCGGGUCUCUGGACAGUUCCUGACGCUGAGGCACGAAGGCCAGGGGAGCAAACGGG